rnacentral:rRNA from 1 species
UACAGAGGUGGCAAGCGUUGUUCGGAAUUACUGGGCGUAAAGGGCGCGUAGGCGGCCUUCUAAGUCAGACGUGAAAUCCCCAGGCUUAACUUGGGAACUGCGUCUGAUACUGGGAGGCUUGAGUGCGGGAGAGGGAUGUGGAAUUCCAGGUGUAGCGGUGAAAUGCGUAGAUAUCUGGAGGAACACCGGUGGCGAAGGCGGCAUCCUGGACCGGCAUUGACGCUGAGGCGCGAAAGCCAGGGGAGCAAAGCGGGG